rnacentral:misc_RNA from 1 species
UUUUAUUGGUCAGAAGAUCAACGUGUCCGGUGAUACACCUUCUUAACAUUAAGCGUAGAUGGCAUUUGCAAAACUUGCCUGUACGCGUCAGUGGAUUUCGAUGACAUAUCAAUAACUCAUCAGGUAGAAAAGGCUGGUGGAUAUCAGAAAAAGCGUUCCCGGUCACAUAACGAUCAUCAGCCGAUCAUCUGAAAAUAAUCGAUGGUGGUGAUAUUAAACGGUUACAUUGUGUAAAAUAGUUGGGCUUACAGGUAUUGGCGGUUACACUUUUGCCGCAGAACAUUUGAAUAAGGAAUUAUGG